CCCAUGACGUCAUUCUUACCGAAAGUUCUUUUAAGGACACACGUAACAGAGAACCUCAAUGCAGUGGCUCAUAUACAUAUACUGUAUACAGUUAGGUCCGGAAGUAUUUGGACAGUGACAGAUUUUUGUGAUUUUGCUUUAUACACCCGUACCUGUCAACCCUCUCGUUUUUCCCGGGAUUCUCCCGUAUUUUACGAUUCAUCCCGUUUAAAUAUUUUCCCGUAUUUCUCCCGUAUUUUUAAUCUUUCUAUAAAAAAAAAUCCCACUGGGUGUAAUUGAUAUGUUUGCUACAUUCGCCUCCGGUAAAGCAGGUGGCAGUAUACAGAACAUUAGCUGUAACAUCUACAGAACUCACUCAAACGGCACCCGCCAAUAAAACAAGUAGAAGAAGAAUAGCGGUCGAAGAAGAACAGCAUCCCGAGGAUGGAAGAACGUGAGAGAGAUGGUGUUGGAGUACCUGCAAAAAAGGCAGUCAAUGGCUGCUUGAAGUCUGGAGCCCAUGGACAUCAAGUUUCCACUGAGUUUCCUCCCUGGAGAUGCUUUGCCAGGCCUUCACUGGAGCCACCUUCAGUUGCUGCUUGUUUGUGGGUCUUUCUGCCUUCAGCCUUAUCUUCAGGUCAUAUCAGCCCUUACUUCCUCCAGGAUCCAUGGAGGGACACUAGAGAAUGGCACUGUUGGACUUAAUUCUUUGUCACCAAGCCUGUAAUUAUUUAUUUUAUUCUCUAUUGUUCAAUCAAAACUUCUCAAGCUUCCCUUUUCUUUCUCCUGACAUGGUUUUUCACCUAUCUCCACUUGUAGAGCUGGAACUGGAGUUGUUUUAAUAGCACCACAGCACAGUCUCAACACCUGAUAUUGAAUACAGUCUAGUUUUUUCAACAAUGUUUCCGAAUGCUGAUUCGUAUAUCAUACUGCCAUAAUUGAAUGUUGAUCUGAUUAAACCUAUAUAAAUGAUUUUCAGGGUUGAUUUAUUUGCUCCCCACUCUCUGCAUCUCAAACAUCUAAUAAUAUUCAUUACCUUUUUACAUUUUUCUACCAUUUUCCCUAUAUGUACUGACCAAGUGAGUUUCUUAUCAAACUAGAUUCCUAAAUACCUGAAGUUAUUUACGUUUUCUAAGUUUUUCCCAUAUAAUUUAAGCUUGACUUGAUUAUCAGUUUUCCUUUUUGUAAAGAACACAACUUUUGUUUUUGCCACUGAAAACCUAAAACCCCACUCCAGUGCCCAUUCCUCUACCUUCCCUAUAGCUUCUUGUAAUUUUUUGACUAUAUAGUCUAUAUUUCUACCCCUUUUCCACAUAACUCCAUCAGCAAAUAAAGCAAUCCCGACAGAUUUUUCUAUAUUGCUAAAUACUUCAUUUAUCUUUAUUGAAAACAAUACUGGACUUAUUAUACUUCCUUGAGGUGUUCCAUUCUCUACUGGAUAAUUGCCACUAAUGUAAUGUUAUUCCCUAUUCUUACUGAGCUCUUCCUAUCAGUUAAGAAGUUUCUUAUCCAUUUAUACAUUUUUCCUUUUAUUCCUACCUGAUGUAAUCUUAUUAAUAAACCUUCUUUCCAGAGCAUAUCAUAUGCUUUUUCUUCGUCAAAAAAUAUUGCUACCACACUUUCCUUGUUAACUUGGUUCUGAUUUUGUGUUCUAAACAUAGAGCUGGGUCUAUCGUAGUUCUUCCUUUCCUAAAUCCACUCUGAUAACAUUUUAAUAUACCUUUAGUGUCCAAAUAAUAAACCAGCCUUUCAUUAAUCAUUUUUUCCGUAAUUUUUCCUAUAUGGGAUGUUAAAGCUAUCGGCCUGUAACUCUCAGCUAGGCUUGAGUCUUUACCUGGUUUACAUAUAGGAAUUAUCACAGACUCUUUCCAUUGUGAGGGCAAAACCCCUUUUUCCCAUAUUUUAUUGUACAUCAUUAGUAAUAUUUCUUUACCUUUCUCACUAAGAUUUUUAAGCAUGAAAUAACUUAUUUGGUCUUUGCCUGGAGCUGGUUUCCCUGAUUUCCUUAAUGCAUUUUCCAGUUCAGUAAUUGAAAACAUCACAUUCAUUGUAUUUCCAUAUUCCUUUUCAUCUUGCAGUUCCUCUGUGUAUUUUCUUUUUGUUUUUUCUGUCUCCCUUUUUUCGUCAAUACUCAAAUUAUUUAUACUGUGUACUUUAACAAAUGUUCGCACCAAUAAUUCUGCUUUAUCUUUAUCGUCUACAGUCAUAUUUGUACCAUUUUUCAUUAUAGGAUAUCCAGAUUCUUUUCUAUUUCCAGACUUUCUUUUAAUCAUGCUCCAAACUCUUUCUAAUGGUGUUUCUCUGCCUAAUGAGUCACAAUAUUUUUUCCAAUAUUCUUUUUUAGUCUUCUUUAUUAUAUUCCUUACAAUUGCCUGUUUCCUUUUAUAAUCAAUUAAAUUCUGACAGCAAAGUGUUCUUUUUUUCACAAUUUGAAAGCCUUAUUCCUACUUUGUAUUGCUUCUGUGCACCUUUCUGUCCACCAUGGCACUAUUUUCUUCUUUGAUUUACUGCAUUGUUUUGGAAUCGACUCUUUUGCUACUUCUAAUAUAGCUCUACUGAUUUCUGAAUUAAUAACAUUACUCGGUUGUUCUAUAUCUAUUGUUUGUACCUUUUUCUCACUUAGUAUUCUAAAUUUAUUCCAAACUGCUUUCAAAUUCCAUCUGCCUUUUCUUUUUUCCUGUUCUAUUUCAUUUAUAAUUCCUAUAUUUAUGAAUACUGGAUAGUGGUCACUACCUAUUGUGCGCUCCCUAGAUGCAUCCCAAGUACUUAUCCCAGCUAGUGAUUGUGAUACAAGCGUCAAAUCAAGUGCUGACUCUGUGCCCUUCCCCAAAUUCACUCUUGUGCCUGAUCCAUCAUUUAAACGCACCAGUUCUUUUUCAUCCAUUAACUCUUCUAUUACUUCCCCAUUUGCAUCUUCUUGAUCCCCCCACACUGUGCUGUGCGCAUUAAAAUCUCCACACCAGAUGAUUUUCCCUCUCCAAUGUUCCAGAAUCCUCUCUAGUUUUUCCUUCUCUAAUUUCUUGCAUGGGUUAUAAAAGUUUAUUAUUUUCACAUUUCCUUUCUUGGUCCAGAUUUCAACAACUAUUAGUUCUAAGUCUUGUGUUGUUUGAACCCGUGAAUGGUUUAUACCUUCUUCAAUGAAUACAGCACAUCUUCCUCCAUUCCCACUGUCUCUAUCUUUGCGAAUACUGGAAUACCCAUGAAUAACAAAAUCUAGAUUUGGUUUAAGCCAAGUUUCUUGUAUGCAUAUGAUGUCCAGUUUCCCUUUUAACUUCUUGAUGAACCCUUUGAAUUCUUGACCAUUUGCUAAUAGACUUCUGGCAUUCCACUGAAGUAUUAACAUUAUGGUAUUAAUUGAGAUCAGCCUUCUGAGGUUCCCUCUCCUUGACUGAGAUCUGUAUGUAAUUUCUCCCAGGAUAAUUCUUUUAUGUUCAAAACUUUUGCUGCUGCUUUCAGAUAUCCCACCAUCACAUUACUAGGGAGAACAUCUUCCUUAAACUUCAGGAGAACAGAUUCGCUGUCAACUUUCUCUCCAUUUCUGAAUGCUUGUAGUCGCCUAAUUCCUGUGAUUGUUCCUCCCUUCAACCUUUGUUUGAGUUCUUCUAGAUUUUCUCCUACAGGUAUUCCUCUUAUUACUCCUUUCACUCCUGUCCUUUGACCAAGUACUUUUCUAUCUACAAUUUCCUUUUUACAGACACUUUGAAGCUUUAACGCCUUGUUUCUUUGCUCUGCACUUUUACACUUUACCAACAGGCUACCGUCUCGCAAUACUUUAGCCAUGUCGUCAUCCCCAAGUGUUUUUCUCAAUCUAUUUGUUAGUGACAUAGGACUUAGUGACAACACUUCUCUUCCUGCCUUGAAUUUUAGAAUGAUUUUAUACUCCUCCAUCAUUAUUUUAUUCCUGGCAUCAUACGUUUCCUCAUCUUCCUCGAGUGCCCUUUUACCUGACUGUGUUACCUGUGUCAUCUGAGUUCUUUCUUUCCUUCCUUCCUCCUCCUUUCCUAUUAUUCACAAUUCUAGUCCAUUCAAUAUCCAUAUUAUCAUCAUCAUCAGACAAACCACCACUAUUACUUGCCAUCCUAAUCCAGUCACCCACCCCAAGAAUCAGCCGUGGGUUAAGCUCCAGCGUCUGGGCGUUUGGAAGUAAAUUAGGCUGUGUUGUGGCAGUAAAGAAAUGGAUCUGUCACUAAGAAACAUUAAUUAUUCUUAAGAAAAGAACGAAAAGAACUAAAUGCAAUUGCAACUGAGGUGGCCAAUGGAGUGGCCAGGCUUCAGGCCAUGGCCACCUCUCCCCUCAGCUCCGCCCCUGUUAUCUCCCUGGUUUAACCCGCUCAGCAGUGUAAAAUCAAUCAGCGAUCAAGUAGCAUCCCGCAUGUUGUUGUCUUUCAUUUUAUUGUUCUGCAAAUUUACUUUCACUUUUAA